CAUUUCAUUUGAACUGAACAUAAAUGUAGUGCCUGGAAUUCUCCCAAAUGAAUAAAUUCUUUGCUGAUAAUUUUUAAGUGAAGAAAGAUCAACAGGAUAGGGGCAGUAGGGAGGAUCAGAGGCUUGAGGGUGUGUGUGUCCGUGUGUGUGUGUGUGUGUGUGUAAAGAGAUGGGGUUAGGGUGGGGCAAUCAAAUAUAAAUAAAAGAAUACAAAACCUCAUUUAAUGUGCCCAUUAGUUUGGGGGUCUUUGUAUUUAGAACAAUUGGGAGAGUUCUGGACGCAAUUUUUUUUUCCUUUUCCUUUUUCAGUGUGCCAUGCUGAAUUCUCUCUUGGAAUACCACAAUAGAUUUAUUUCCCCUAAAAGAACCCCUGCUGUCUCUUGCUCAUGUUAAACCCUGCCAUGUUCCCAUCCUGAGGACAGCAACACAACAAACCUCCAUUCCUUCCAGCAGCAUCUAAUCUUCUCUCUGCUUCUACAGGCUGAGUUUUCUCCCCUGGAU